rnacentral:lncRNA from 1 species
UUCUUUCUCUUUUUCUUCUUCUCUCUUUCUUUUUCUUUCUGAUAACUCUCAUUCUCUCUUCUUCUAUUCUUAUCCUUUCUUCUUUUCUUUCCUUUACCACACAUAAUACAUUACAUAUAUAAUAUAUAUAAUAUAUAAUAUUAAGUAGUAAUCAAAAUAUCCCAAUUGAUAUUUCAUCUUCCAACACCAAUUGACCAAUUAUUAAUGUUACCAAAAAUGUCCUCUAUUAUACUUAUUAAUAUUGGUCUGUCUCUUUAUUAAUAAUUAAUCCCUUCAGAGUUCACUGGUUACUCUAUUGGUCCCAAUUGACAACCGGUUACCUCAUACCGUUAACCGGUUAACACCUUAAAAAAUGGGAAAAAUUCCAAUUUCCAUUAAUUCUCUCAGUAACUUCUUUCCUUAAUUAACUCCUCUUUUAUUUUCCUUUCCAUAUACCAUUUUUGCCUACAAUUUUCACAUAACAUGAUUUUUCCACAACAAUCAACAUGAUAUCAACACAUAGCAUGGAUAGGGAGUAUGAACACAACAAGUUUAUCACAAAUUCACACAAACCCUAACCCCACAAAUAUAGAUUAUUUUCCCCCAAAGGCUAAAACUAUCUAAGAACUCACCUAGUAGAAGAAGAUGAAGUUGGUGAUGAUAAAGAUGAGAUGAUGAAGAUGAUUUUCCAUCUUCUUCCUUCCUUCCUCUUCUUCUCUUCUUCCUCUUUCUCUUUCUUCUUUUCCUCUUUCUUUCUCUUUUUCUUCUUCUCUCUUUCUUUCUCUUUUUCUUCUUCUCUCUUUCUUUUUCUUUCUGAUAACUCUCAUUCUCUCUUCUUCUAUUCUUAUCCUUUCUUCUUUUCUUUCCUUUACCACACAUAAUACAUUACAUAUAUAAUAUAUAUAAUAUAUAAUAUUAAAUAGUAAUCAAAAUAUCCCAAUUGAUAUUUCAUCUUCCAACACCAAUUGACCAAUUAUUAAUGUUACCAAAAAUGUCCUCUCCUGUAAUUAUUAAUAUUGGUCUGUCUCUUUAUUAAUAAUUAAUCCCUUCAGAGUUCACUGGUUACUCUAUUGGUCCCAAUUGACAACAUUUAGAGCACAAAGGAGCUCUAAUUGUUACAACUAACAAAAGAUAUAGUACACAGGUACUCAAUUGAUCUCAACUGACAACCAAUUGAGCAUUUAAGGGAAUAUGGGAUAUUACA